CCUCUUGGUCCUGCGGGGAGGCGGAGGCAUGGCGGAAAAGGAUUCAGCGAAGCCACAACUAGCUCGACUGGUGUUGGAGGGGUCAGCGGCUGCAGCGGCGGCGCAUCCUGCUCGGCCUGCAUCGGUCCGCACCGGAGCGGGGAGUGCUGCUACGUCGCAACCGGCGGUAGAUGUGAUGGGGAGAGGUAUUCCUCGUGUUCUUCUCCGUCCACCGGGGAAGAGGACGCCGAUUCGCGAGCGCAGAAGGCCUGGUUCUAGCUGUCGUGAUGGGUUCCAAGAAUGGUCAAAGUCGUGGUUAUGUUCUUCAUCUUCUUUGUCAUCUUCUUCAGCAACCUAACAGGAUAACAUUCGCAAGUAAUUAAUUUCAUUUUUAUUGAUUACUUAUUUGUUUUUGUACUAUAUUUGUUUGCUACAGACAUUGAUUGCCUUAACUUUUUCUUACCUCAUCCAGAUGCAUGUCAUCAAACAUAGUUGAGCCCCAUGGAUAAUUCAGCUUCUUCUUGCAUCUCAAAUCUACCUUCUUCCAACGUAUAUCCAGGUCGCCCCUUAGCAACGGCAUGCAUGAAAAUAUGCUCGUGUGGAUGCUUGCUCACUCGCUCGUUUGUGUGUAAGGUUGUAGCAGCUCAUCUCCGUCCGUGCAUGAAUCAGAUCAACUUUGGACCUAAGGAUGUAGCUACUCAUCUCCUGUCCGGCAUGGAUCAGAUGUCGAGAUCCAAUCCGACCUAGUGACCUAGUUGCUCAUCUUCGGCCAGCUUUGUAUAAGUUGCUUUCAGCAGCCAAUGCACUCCUAGUCCAGGCACAUCCCUAUCCGAUGCUACUUCCACCUCUCUGAUGUCAAGAUCCAGUCUGACAUACUGACCUAGUUGCUCAUCUUCGGUGGCUGGUUUUUCUAUCAGUUGCUUUUCAGCAGCCAAUGCACUCCCCGUCAAGAUUUGAAAAGUUGUUCCUAAUGCAAGAAGAAAAGGGCAGCUUAGUGGCCUAGUGCACUAUUACUUUUUAAAGAGAGUUCUGUGUGAUCAGCCUUACAUGAUCAUGCAACAUUUUCCUACCUGGAUGUUGUCAAAAGCACUUGAAGAUUCACCUUUCAGUUGGUUCCAGAAGUAAUUUAAGUGUUUUUGUGUCACAGGCUCACAAGGGAAGUAAAACUUGAAUAAGAGUGCAUCGUAAUUAGUGUUAGUUUUCAAAUCAAGGUAUGCAACUACAGACAUCAAACGAUAAAACUGCUGACAGUGAAACUUUUGUGUUUCAGUUGUUAAGAAGAUCGGAACCAUACCUUAGGGUGUAUAGCAUCUCAAAGUGGAAGUAGGGUUUCUUGCAGAAAUUCCUUUCCUUUCUUCUUGUCCGGUGGUUGUUCUUCUCUUCCGUCCAUUGUUUUGGGGUAGGAUCCUGUCGAUAGAAGCAGCGAAUGGCUGGAAGGAGUGGUUGGAGUGGUUGAAGCAUGUGAGGUGUUUGCUUGCUGAAGAAGAAGGUCGGACAGCUGUUUUGGGCCUUGUAGGGUCAUGCACCCGCUGAGCUUUCAUGUUCCGUGGGCUUUGUAACGUUCUGUUUCGUGUAUGGGUUUGUAACGUUAAUCUGGUUGCAUUUUUCGUGGGAUGUUCUACUGGCAUCGGACUCAAAAACAGUCUGUAACUCAAAAUCUGUCUGUUUAUGUUAAUGAAACAGACACAUUUUCAUUAAA